CUUGACAUGUCCGAGAGCUCGCUGAGAGGCGAGUGUGCCCGAAAGGGAAUCGGAACACAGGUGCUGCAUGGCUGUCGUCAGCUCGUGUCGUGAGAUGUUGGGUUAAGUCCCGCAACGAGCGCAACCCUUGUCAUUAGUUGCUACAUUCAGUUGGGCACUCUAAUGAGACUGCCGGUGACAAACCGGAGGAAGGUGGGGAUGACGUCAAGUCCUCAUGGCCCUUAUGGGUAG
rnacentral:rRNA from 1 species